rnacentral:rRNA from 1 species
GACGAACGCUGGCGGCGUGCUUAACACAUGCAAGUCGAACGCGCCUGUCCUCUGGGUUUCUGGGGGGUGGGUGAGUGGCGAACGGGUGAGUAACACAUGAGUAACCUGCCCCCUUCUUCGGGAUAACGGUCUGAAAGGGCUGCUAAUACCGGGUAUUCACUGGUCUCCGCAUGGGGUCUGGUGGAAAGGUUUUUUUCUGGUGGGGGAUGGGCUCGCGGCCUAUCAGCUUGUUGGUGGGGUGAUGGCCCACCAAGGCUUUGACGGGUAGCCGGCCUGAGAGGGUGACCGGUCACAUUGGGACUGAGAUACGGCCCAGACUCCUACGGGAGGCAGCAGUGGGGAAUAUUGCACAAUGGGCGCAAGCCUGAUGCAGCGACGCCGCGUGAGGGAUGGAGGCCUUCGGGUUGUGAACCUCUUUCGCCCGUGGUCAAGCCGCGACGUGGGUCGUGGUGAGGGUAGUGGGUAAAGAAGCGCCGGCUAACUACGUG